rnacentral:RNase_P_RNA from 1 species
GACGCAAGCCGUCUUAUCGUCCCGACCUAGUCGGGAAGGAAAGUCCGGGCAACAUAGAGCAGCGUACUUCCUAACAGGAAGGCCCCGACUAGUCGGGGACAGAUAGUGCCACAGAAAACAAACUACCCCGACUUGUCGGGGAAAAGGUGAAAAGGCGAGGUAAGAGCUCACCGGCCCAACAGUGAUGGAGGGCGCAUGGCAAACCUUACGCGUUGAAAGGUCAAAUAGGUUCCGUUUCAUUCCUGGGUGGAGUGGGUUAGCGGCUCGUUAAUUGUUCUGGUGAAUCAGAGCAGGCGGAACGGGUAGACUGCACGACCCUGAUCGUGAGGUCAGGGCUAGAUAAAUGAUAAGAGCCCCGGUUCACACCGGGGAACAGAACCCGGCUUACAGGCUUGCAUUUUUU